GUCAGGAUGGCCGAGCGGUCUAAGGCGCGCAUUAAGGUCGCAGUCUCCUCUGGAGGCGUGGGUUCAAAUUCCACUUCUGACA
rnacentral:tRNA from 1 species